GACGGAAGGUGCAAGCGUUGCUCGGAAUCACUGGGCGUAAAGGGUGCGUAGGCGGCCGUGCAAGUCUGGCGUGAAAGCCCCGGGCUCAGCCCGGGAAGUGCGCUCGAAACUGCGCGGCUCGAGUGCCGGAGGGGAGAGUGGAAUUCCUGGUGUAGCGGUGAAAUGCGUAGAUAUCGGAAGGAACAUCAGUGGCGAAAGCGGCUUCCUGGACCAGCACCGACGUUCAGGCACGAAAGCGUGGGGAGCAAACAGG
rnacentral:rRNA from 1 species